rnacentral:rRNA from 1 species
UACGUAGGGGGCUAGCGUUGUCCGGAAUCAUUGGGCGUAAAGAGCGUGUAGGCGGCCCGGUAAGUCCGCUGUAAAAGUCAAAGGCUCAACCUUUGAAUGUCAGUGGAUACUGCCGGGCUAGAGUCCGGAAGAGGCGAGUGGAACUCCUGGUGUAGCGGUGGAACGCGCAGAUAUCAGGAAGAACACCAACGGCGAAGGCAGCUCGCUGGGACGGUACUGACGCUGAGACGCGAAAGCGUGGGGAGCGAACAGG